rnacentral:rRNA from 1 species
GGGAUGAGCUCAAAUUUAAAAUCUGGCGUCUUUCAGGCGUCCGAGUUGUAAUCUAUAGAGGCGUUUUCCGCGCCGGACCGCGUCCAAGUCUCUUGGAAUAGAGUAUCAAAGAGGGUGACAAUCCCGUACUUGACGCGACAACCGGUGCUCUGUGAUACGUUCUCAAUGAGUCGAGUUGUUUGGGAAUGCAGCUCUAAAUGGGUGGUAAAUUCCAUCUAAGGCUAAAUAUUGGCGAGAGACCGAUAGCGAACAAGUACCGUGAGGGAAAGAUGAAAAGCACUUUGGAAAGAGAGUUAAACAGCACGUGAAAUUGUUAAAAGGGAAACGAUUGAAGUCAGUCGUGUGAAAGGUAUUCAGCCGUCUCUGGCGGUGUAUUUGCCUUUCACGGGUCAACAUCAGUUUGAUCCGGUAGAAAAAGGCGGGAGGAAGGUGGCACCCUCGGGUGUGUUAUAGCCUCCUGUCAUAUGUGCCGGACCAGACUGAGGAACGCAGCUUGCCGCAAGGCCGGGGUUCGCCCA